GACGAACGCUGGCGGCGUGCUUAACACAUGCAAGUCGAACGGAAAGGCCCUGCUUUUGUGGGGUGCUCGAGUGGCGAACGGGUGAGUAACACGUGAGUAACCUGCCCUUGACUUCGGGAUAACUUCAGGAAACUGGGGCUAAUACCGGAUAGGAGCUCCUGCUGCAUGGUGGGGGUUGGAAAGUUUCGGCGGUUGGGGAUGGACUCGCGGCUUAUCAGCUUGUUGGUGGGGUAGUGGCUUACCAAGGCUUUGACGGGUAGCCGGCCUGAGAGGGUGACCGGCCACAUUGGGACUGAGAUACGGCCCAGACUCCCACGGGAGGCAGCAGUGGGGAAUAUUGCACAAUGGGCGGAAGCCUGAUGCAGCAACGCCGCGUGCGGGAUGACGGCCUUCGGGUUGUAAACCGCUUUCGCCUGUGACGAAGCGUGAGUGACGGUAAUGGGUAAAGAAGCACCGGCUAACUACGUG
rnacentral:rRNA from 1 species